UCUGUGAUGGCCGAGUGGCUAAGGCGUUGGACUUGAAACCCAAUGGGAUCUUCCCCCGCAGGUUCGAACCCUGCUCGCAGCG
rnacentral:tRNA from 1 species